CCUACGGGCGGCAGCAGUGGGGAAUAUUGGGCAAUGGGCGCAAGCCUGACCCAGCAACGCCGCGUGAAGGAAGAAGGCUUUCGGGUUGUAAACUUCUUUUCUCAGGGACGAAGAAAGUGACGGUACCUGACGAAUAAGCCACGGCUAACUACGUGCCAGCAGCCGCGGUAAUACGUAGGUGGCAAGCGUUAUCCGGAUUUAUUGGGUGUAAAGGGCGUGUAGGCGGGAGCGCAAGUCAGAUGUGAAAACUCAGGGCUCAACCCUGAGCCUGCAUUUGAAACUGUGUUUCUUGAGUGCUGGAGAGGCAAUCGGAAUUCCGUGUGUAGCGGUGAAAUGCGUAGAUAUACGGAGGAACACCAGUGGCGAAGGCGGAUUGCUGGACAGUAACUGACGCUGAGGCGCGAAAGCGUGGGGAGCAAACAGGAUUAGAUACCCUAGUAGUC
rnacentral:rRNA from 1 species